UACGAAGGGGGCUAGCGUUGCUCGGAAUCACUGGGCGUAAAGCGCACGUAGGCGGAUUGCUAAGUCAGGGGUGAAAUCCUGGAGCUCAACUCCAGAACUGCCUUUGAUACUGGCGAUCUUGAGUCCGGGAGAGGUGAGUGGAACUGCGAGUGUAGAGGUGAAAUUCGUAGAUAUUCGGAGGAACACCAGUGGCGAAGGCGGCUCACUGGUCCGGUACUGACGCUGAGGUGCGAAAGCGUGGGGAGCAAACAGG
rnacentral:rRNA from 1 species